UACGUAGGGUGCAAGCGUUAAUCGGAAUUACUGGGCGUAAAGCGUGCGCAGGCGGUUUUGUAAGUCUGUUGUGAAAUCCCCGGGCUCAACCUGGGAAUGGCGAUGGAGACUGCAAGGCUAGAAUCUGGCAGAGGGGGGUAGAAUUCCACGUGUAGCAGUGAAAUGCGUAGAGAUGUGGAGGAACACCAAUGGCGAAGGCAGCCCCCUGGGUCAAGAUUGACGCUCAUGCACGAAAGCGUGGGGAGCAAACAGG
rnacentral:rRNA from 1 species